UACGUAGGCAGCAAGCGUUGUUCGGAAUUACUGGGCGUAAAGCGCACGUAGGCGGAUCGUUAAGUCGGGGGUGAAAUCCUGGAGCUCAACUCCAGAACUGCCUUUGAUACUGGCGAGCUUGAGUCCGGGAGAGGUGAGUGGAACUGCGAGUGUAGAGGUGAAAUUCGUAGAUAUUCGCAAGAACACCAGUGGCGAAGGCGGCUCACUGGCCCGGUACUGACGCUGAGGUGCGAAAGCGUGGGGAGCAAACAGG
rnacentral:rRNA from 1 species